GCCCUUGUAGCUCAGUUGGUAGAGCAUCUGAUUUGUAAUCAGGUGGUCGGGAGUUCGAGUCUCUCCGGGGGCACCA
rnacentral:tRNA from 3 species